GGCGACCGAAUGAACUAGCAGCAGCCGGAUCCGACCUGCUUCCCUGGACAUUCCCCGGACUCUGAGCGAGCGAGUCACUGGAAAGAGGCCAGGGAACCACGUUGCCCUGGAUUGUUGCCAACUGUACAAAGUUGACCCGGAAAAUGGCUCAGCAGACGACAAGCCCAGACACCUUAACAGUACCUGAAGUGGAUAAUCCGCAUUGUCCAAACCCAUGGCUGAACGAGGAUCUGGUGAAAUCCUUGCGGGAAAACCUGUUGCAGCAUGAGAAGUCCAAGACAGCGAGGAAAUCGGUUUCUCCCAAGCUCUCUCCAGUGAUUUCUCCGAGAAAUUCCCCCAGGCUCCUGCGCAGGAUGCUUCUCAGUAGCAACAUCCCCAAACAGCGGCGUUUCACCGUGGCACAUACGUGGUAAGGUUUGCACAGAUCCCACCGAAAUGAUGGCCGUCCCCCCUCGGGGUUU